GAUAUGAUCACUGAUGGAUAUCCUGUGACGCCCAACAUCACCUUACACCCACUAGUUUAUAUGUAUAUUUGUAUAUUCGUCAGCCUAAGAUAUGAGCACUGAUGGAUAUCCUGUGACGCCCAACAUCACCUUACACCCACUAGUUUAUAUGAUUGUAUAGUUGUAUAUGCGUCAGCCUAAGAUAUGAUCACUGAUGGAUAUCCUGUGACGCCCAACAUCACC